GACGAACGCUGGCGGCGUGCUUAACACAUGCAAGUCGAGCGGUAAGGCCCUUUCGGGGGGUACACGAGCGGCGAACGGGUGAGUAACACGUGGGUGACCUGCCCUCAGCUCUGGGAUAAGCCUGGGAAACUGGGUCUAAUACUGGAUAUGACUCCACGGUGCAUGUCGUGGGGUGGAAAGCCUUGUGCGGCUGAGGAUGGGCCCGCGGCCUAUCAGCUUGUUGGUGGGGNGAUGGCCUACCAAGGCGACGACGGGUAGCCGGCCUGAGAGGGCGACCGGCCACACUGGGACUGAGACACGGCCCAGACUCCUACGGGAGGCAGCAGUGGGGAAUCUUGCGCAAAUGGGCGAAAAGCCUGACGCAGCGACGCCGCGUGA
rnacentral:rRNA from 1 species